CUUGGCACAGAUUCUUUUCUAUGCUGAGCAUGUGCCUGUGGUUAUCUCCAUGUUUUUAUAAGACUCAACUCCACUGACAGCAGUUAACUUGGACCCAACCAGAUCAACUAAGGUCCUUCUCUAGCAUUGGAUUUGGCCCAGAGAGCCUCUUGGCAUCUCAGUGGUUGAAACUUUAUGAUAUGUAAUUUAAGAACUAUCAGUAGCCAUAUUUGCCUGCUUCUGAAGAGUGCUGGUUUACAGUGAGAGGGAAUAAGGCCUACCUAUGGAGAGAAACAGAGACAGAAACAAUCCCAGUGAGGUUCAUGUUUCUGGUUCCAGUUGUUCCUGAUGCCCCUCUGCUUCCGUGCACUUCCAGAAGCAGGAGCUGAACACACAGGAACUGGUGCCUUAAGGGAAUGGAGGCCAUGAAGGCUGAUGAGGUCUGGAGGUUGAUGAGGUCCAGAGGUUGAGGAGCCAGGAAGAAGGUAGACCUCAAGACCUAAAAUCACCACAAUGCCACAUCUCUAGGCCAGAAACUAAACCCUGGUAGGAAAAGGGUCCCAAGGGAGACAAGGCACGGGGCCAAGGAAGACUGAGGGGGACAGCAACCUGCCGAGGCACUGGAGCUGCAGAAUCACAGGGGC